GACGAACGCUGGCGGCGUGCUUAACACAUGCAAGUCGGACGGAAAGGCCCUGCUUGCAGGGUACUCGAGUGGCGAACGGGUGAGUAACACGUGGGUGAUCUGCCCUGCACUUCGGGAUAAGCUUGGGAAACUGGGUCGAAUACCGGAUAGGAACCAUCUUGAGUGUGGUGGUUGGAAAGUUUUUUCGGUGUAGGAUGAGCUCGCGGCAUAUCAGCUUGUUGGUGGGGUAAUGGCCUACCAAGGCGGCGACGGGUAGCCGGCCUGAGAGGGUGUACGGCCACAUUGGGACUGAGAUACGGCCCAGACUCCUACGGGAGGCAGCAGGGGGGAAUAUUGCACAAUGGGCGCAAGCCUGAUGCAGCGACGCCGCGUGGGGGAUGAAGGCCUUCGGGUUGUAAACUCCUUUCUCUAGGGACGAAGCUUUGUUGUGACGGUACCUAGAUAAGAAGCACCGGCUAACUACGUG
rnacentral:rRNA from 1 species